CUGACCACUUUCCCUUUCACACUAUGUACUCUUAAAUUUACUCAGAGAAAUCUUGGAGGGGAAUGAGAUGCAUCUUCUCUGAAUAGAAGUUAAAAAUGUUCAUCAGAAGUUAUCCAACAUACAUCAAAAUGUGUACCCUACAAUGAAAUAAAGCAAAAUGGCAUACAAA